CCUACGGGAGGCAGCAGUGGGGAAUAUUGGACAAUGGGGGCAACCCUGAUCCAGCCAUGCCGCGUGUGUGAAGAAGGCCCUCGGGUUGUAAAGCACUUUCAGUGAGGAAGAACGCCUGGUGGUUAAUACCCAUCAGGAAAGACAUCACUCACAGAAGAAGCACCGGCUAACUCCGUGCCAGCAGCCGCGGUAAUACGGAGGGUGCGAGCGUUAAUCGGAAUUACUGGGCGUAAAGCGCGCGUAGGUGGCUUGAUAAGCCGGUUGUGAAAGCCCCGGGCUCAACCUGGGAACGGCAUCCGGAACUGUCAAGCUAGAGUGCAGGAGAGGAAGGUAGAAUUCCCGGUGUAGCGGUGAAAUGCGUAGAGAUCGGGAGGAAUACCAGUGGCGAAGGCGGCCUUCUGGACUGACACUGACACUGAGGUGCGAAAGCGUGGGUAGCAAACAGGAUUAGAUACCCUGUAGUC
rnacentral:rRNA from 1 species